UCCUGCUCCAGGCUCUCAAGUAGCUGAGAUUACAGACUAACGAUCUUCUGUUGGUCCCUUCUGGUAGGGCCGAGGAGACCCCAGCAUCACGAAUUAAUUUGGGAUUACAGCCAAGCAAGUUUAAUGUUUCGAAAUAUCAUACACAAUGCAGCUGAGCGCCAAUUUUAUUCCCUGGGUUAGUACUAAUCAGCAAAAUGUACGUAAGGGCCUCAAGAACAGACUGCCCUGAACGUUCCUGUGUGUUGCUCCAGGUCAGUGGGUCUUCCUGCUCUCAUCCUACGCCCACCCACACCCCUCCUGUCCAUGCCACUGGCUUUCAGCAUGUCUUCUCUCCAUGACUCUAACAGCUUCAUAACUGGCUAGUUUGCCUCCCAACAACUCACCCUGCCUUCUGCUGCCAGAAUAUAUUUUCUACAAAAGCAGAGCUGAUUAGGCCAUUUUCCUGCUUACAGGCUUUUGUUGCUCCCCAUGGCUUCCAGGGUGCAGUUCAAAUGUUUAUAGGUACCACACAAGACCCUUCCUGGUUUUCCCCUGCCAAUCUCCUAGCCUCAUUACCUGUUGCUCAUCUGCCUGCCACACAUAAAGACUUGCUAAUUCCCAAACACAUCAUACUGUUGCAUAUUUCCAUGAGUCUGUACUUGCUGUUCCCUUGAACUAAAAUGCCCUUUCCUC
rnacentral:lncRNA from 1 species